GACGAACGCUGGCGGCGUGCCUAAUACAUGCAAGUUGAGCGAUGAAGAUUGGUGCUUGCACCAAUUUGAAGAGCAGCGAACGGGUGGGUAACGCGUGGGGAAUCUGCCUUUGAGCGGGGGACAACAUUUGGAAACGAAUGCUAAUACCGCAUAAUAACUUUAAACAUAAGUUUUAAGUUUGAAAGAUGCAAUUGCAUCACUCAAAGAUGAUCCCGCGUUGUAUUAGCUAGUUGGUGAGGUAAAGGCUCACCAAGGCGAUGAUACAUAGCCGACCUGAGAGGGUGAUCGGCCACAUUGGGACUGAGACACGGCCCAAACUCCUACGGGAGGCAGCAGUAGGGAAUCUUCGGCAAUGGACGAAAGUCUGACCGAGCAACGCCGCGUGAGUGAAGAAGGUUUUCGGAUCGUAAAACUCUGUUGGUAGAGAAGAACGUUGGUGAGAGUGGAAAGCUCAUCAAGUGACGGUGACUACCCAGAAAGGGACGGCUAACUACGUG
rnacentral:rRNA from 1 species